rnacentral:snoRNA from 1 species
ACCCUCCAUAUUCCUUACCCCUCAGAUUUAAAUAUUGGUGUGAGUGACUAGAAAAGGAAGAAAGGUAAAACUGAGGUGGAUUUAGAAUUUUCAGUAACAUACAAGUUCCUUUCAAACAUAU